AAUAAGUGCAGUUUUGCACUAUUCACGUUCAACGUUUGACCGUCCGUCUUAUUUGAAAAAUUUGUGAAAAAAUUAAAAACAUUUAGUCACACAUAAAGUACUAUUCAUGUUUUAUCAUCUAAUAGCAAUAAAAAUAAUUUUUUCACAAAUUUUUCAAAUAAGACGGACGGUCAAACGUUGAACGUGAAUAGUGCAAAACUGCACUUAUU
rnacentral:pre_miRNA from 1 species